UACAGAGGGUGCGAGCGUUAAUCGGAAUUACUGGGCGUAAAGCGCACGUAGGCGGAUUUGUAAGUCAGGGGUGAAAUCCCGGGGCUCAACCUCGGAACUGCCUUUGAUACUGCAAAUCUCGAGUCCGAUAGAGGUGGGUGGAAUUCCUAGUGUAGAGGUGAAAAUUCGUAGAUAUCAGGAGAAACACCGAUGGCGAAGGCAGUUCUCUGGGCCGUAACUGACGCUGAGGAGCGAAAGCGUGGGGGAGCGAACAGG
rnacentral:rRNA from 1 species